UGGCUGAGGACGAUUCCCUGAGCCUUGACAAAGCAGGAGCCCUCCGUGGCGGUGCGUCGGUGUCGAGGCUCCAGUCUGACUAAUCCAGGGGGUCGACAAAACAGAUUCGGGACACUAUGCUACACGGAGGGCCUACCAGGAUGCAGAAACAGCAGACGGAGUCCAGGGAAAGCAGUGCGGCAUCCCAGCCUCAGGCCUGCCCGUACGGUGUUCGGACGGAAUGAAGUUGAUAAUAGUGAGACCUUGUUGGUACAAGACUAUGUAACAUAACCUGCGCUUCUCAACAAAGAAUUGCUUUUCUGACUUCUGCACUCAACUACUCAACAUGAAGGCAAUAAGAAUGAAGACCUCUAUGUAUAAUAAUUGACUUCCACUUAAUAAAUACCUGAACAGAUGUUGAGUACAAGCUGAUCCACCUACGUUCAACCUGAGAGAGUCCACAUCCACAGACUGUUUCAUUUCCCUUUUUCAAUUUACAUAGAAGCAUAGAUUCUUGCUGGCAUAUACAAAUGCGCCAUUUAAGGCAAUCAAAAAUGGUUCCACAUCUCAUCUGAUUUCCACAAUUGUUGCUGUAACGAUGGACUACUGAGGAGAGAGACAAUUUCUCUGGCACAUCUUCCCACAUUUUAGCAACAUGUUCAUGGAGAGCCAAUAUUCAGUAAUUACAGCCCAAUUCCUCACAAUUUCACAAUUCGCUAACAAUAUGCAUUUUCACAAUGUAAAGCUGAUUUUCCUUUAACCAAAUCAAACAUGAAAAGAUAGCUGCAUGCAAUGGGCAAUCUAGAUCAUUAGAAGAUUGAUGUAAAAUUAGAGGACACUGAGACUGGAAUAGAUUGCAAACUUCAGGGAGCUCAGAAAACUUGUAAACUCUACAUUUUGAGGAAAUAUGUUGUCGAUGCUUUUGCAACUCUAUGCAGUAACUUAACAAAUAAAGCCUUAAAGUAACU
rnacentral:lncRNA from 1 species